UACGAAGGGGGCUAGCGUUGUUCGGAAUUACUGGGCGUAAAGGGCGCGUAGGCGGCGUGUCAAGUCAGGCGUGAAAGCCCCGGGCUCAACCUGGGAACCGCGCUUGAGACUGGCAUGCUCGAGUUCGGGAGAGGAUGGUGGAAUUCCGAGUGUAGAGGUGAAAUUCGUAGAUAUUGGGAAGAACACCGAUGGCGAAGGCAGCCAUCUGGACCGACACUGACGCUGAGGCGCGAAAGCGUGGGGAGCAAACAGG
rnacentral:rRNA from 1 species